rnacentral:tRNA from 4 species
UCCGAUGUGGUCUAACGGUUAGGAUAGUGCGCUUUCACCGCAUUGGCCGGGGUUCGACUCCCCGCAUCGGAG